rnacentral:rRNA from 1 species
UACGGGGGGGGCAAGCGUUGUUCGGAAUUACUGGGCGUAAAGGGCGUGUAGGCGGUCAAUCGCGUCGGUUGUGAAAACUGGAGGCUCAACCUCCAGACGUCGACGGAAACCGUGUGGCUAGAGUCCGGAAGAGGAGAGUGGAAUUCCUGGUGUAGCGGUGAAAUGCGCAGAUAUCAGGAAGAACACCAACGGCGAAGGCAGCUCGCUGGGACGUAACUGACGCUGAGACGCGAAAGCGUGGGGAGCAAACAGG